UUAUGGGUCCACAUGCCGCACACAAACUUUACUUGCGGUGAUUUUUCCUCCAUUAAACCCAAACUCAUCAACUCCAUACACAUUCCGGAACAAAGACAUGAUGCUCCCCUCGCAUCAACCUCAACUCUUCCUCUCCCUCUCCAUCCUCCUCUCCACAACCUCCAUAGUUCGAGCCAGCAACAGCUUCAUCUACGCCUCCUGCUUCCCCUCCCAAUACCCAUCCAACACCCCCUUCCAAUCCAACCUCCAAUCCCUCCUCUCCUCCCUCGCCAACUCUGCCACAUCCUCCUCCUACAACAGCUUCGCCUUCGGAAACUCUUCCUCCGCCUACGGCCUCUACCAGUGCCGCCAUGACCUGAGCGCCGCCGAGUGCUCCUCUUGCGUCCAGAGCGCGGUGGGCCAAGUGUUGCUCGUGUGCCCCGAAGGCUACGCGGCGGCUCUGCAGCUGGAUGGUUGUCUGGUGCGCUACAGCAAAGAUGAUUUUUUGGGGAAGUUGGACACAUCGGUGGCGUACAAGAGAUGCAGCAGUGAGUUGGGCGGAGGGGACGGGGGGGAGUUCUUGAGGCGGCGGGAUGAUGUGCUUGAUGAUUUAGGGAGCGGGGAGGGAUUUAAGGUCAGUAGCUCGGGGAAAGUACAGGGUUUUGCGGAGUGCGUGGGAGAUUUGAGUCCUGGUGACUGCGCGACUUGUCUGGCUCAGGCUGUGGGGCAGCUUAAGAGCAUGUGCGGCGCGUCGCUUGCGGCAGAUUUGUUUCUGGAGCAGUGUUACGCGCGAUUCUGGGCGUCUGGGUAUUAUCCUCGCGCCGCUGCGGCAGCAGGUUUGUUGCCGAUUACACUGAUGACGACAUUGGAAGGACAGUGGCAAUUAUAGUGGGCAUAUUGGCCGGGGUGGCUCUCUUAGUGGUCUUCAUUUCCUUUGUGAAAAGAGCUUGUUAACAAUCAGAGGCGCUCCUACCGACCUCAUGUAACCUUCAUUCAGCGUUAGGAUUGCAAUACUUAGUGUUGUUCUAUUAUUAUAAAAAGAAGAAAAAAAGUUGUGUGGAAGUAGAUUCUCUAUCUAGCACAACGUUCGAAAGCAGGUUUUGUUUGGAAUUGUUCGUCUUAAAUGGAUAAAAAUUUGAGUGGGACGCAACUCCACUCUCGUGAUCAAAUUUCAAAAGUAGCAGAAGAGCACUUGGGGCUUUUCACGCAGCAAAUGGAGGCUAGAAUACAUAUCAUCUGGCAUCAGAUCAGGGGGAGAAUAUAUUCGGCUUCACGAAAGCAUUUUUGAAUCAUUAAUAAAAACAGAUUAGCCGGUAUUGAAAAUUAUGGAAAGAUUAGUUGGGGUUGCUUUUUUUUUCUUCCUUUAGUUUUUGUUUUAGUCAAAGGGGGCAAAGGAUUGGGUUUUUAUAUGUCAUAAUCCCUAGCA